rnacentral:rRNA from 1 species
UACAGAGGUCCCGAGCGUUGUUCGGAUUCACUGGGCGUAAAGGGUGCGUAGGUGGUGACGUAAGUCGGAUGUGAAAUCUCGGAGCUCAACUCCGAAACGGCAUUGGAAACUGCGUUGCUAGAGGGUUGGAGGGGGGGACUGGAAUGCUUGGUGUAGCAGUGAAAUGCGUAGAUAUCAAGCGGAACACCAGUGGCGAAGGCGAGUCCCUGGACAACACCUGACACUGAGGCACGAAAGCUAGGGGAGCAAACAGG